AUACAAACUAAGUCCAUCCCUGCCCUGUUCAGUGAAAUCAUGGCACAGCGUUUUGAAAUGCUGCCAGUUUCAGAUACAAGCAGAAGUGCUGUUAGCUCUGGCCUGCUACUGUAAAUGUAAACCAUUAAAAUGGUGAUUAAUGAGAAAUGGUUGGAAUUCAAUCCUGCACAGGAAAUUCAAGGACCUAAGAGGGAAGGGAGGUAGGAGUACAUGCCUGACUCUGGGGCCUGACUGUUCUUGAAACUCGAUUCUCCUCUGCCUUGGGGUCUGCCAGAAGUUAGGGAAGAUCAAUAGCAUUUGAUUGUGUGCAAUCAAACAGGCAUUGCUAAUCACUGAAGAGAGUUAUGUCGCCUACGCAGAAGACCUAUACAGAAGAGGUUCUUCACCGUCACUACCAGAAGCACACACAAGAUCAUCCUGAUCCCACUCAGGUUAACUGUCUGGACAGCUGUGAGUCAAGCCUUCAAGCCACGCUGCUUUAUCUGAUUGGUCUCAGACUUGAUCUGGCACAUGAAAGGAAAUGUGAGGAAGUUUCAAGCAGGGAUCGUUUUGCAAGUCCAGAGCUGAGGGUGAGGUCAAGUUCACUCACAUUUUUGGAGUAUCACAUUGCAAACAUAAAGCACCGUGCAUACAGCAUGAGGGUUGGUGGAGCAGUGGUUUCAACUGCAGGAGAUCUGUGUUGCUGGAGUAUUUUUGUGUUGUUUACCAGCAUCAAUGAAAUAUACCACACUAAAGAAACAGCAGUUGCAUGUAUUUUUUAAAGGCGACCCUUCUAGGGAAUAGGCAUAUGGUGACUUUAUCUUCGUUUUGAUGUUUAACUCACACAGGUGUUGCAAGCAUCUCGUGGAGCUGCAGGGUAAUGUUAGCAUUUAGUUAAUGAGUAAGUUCUUAUUAUUCAUGUGGCAUUAAUUUAGCCCACGAUGUUACUCCUUUCCUCCUGCGGUGCGUUCAGAGUCGUGGAGAUUGCUGCAAGAAUUUAUGGGAUGGAAAAGCAGAUAUUUAACUAUGGGGCUUUUUAAAGCUGUGUGGAGUAAUAAAAUCAUUACUGUUGGAAAAGACUACCAAGAUCAUCUAGUCUGACCAUCAACCCAUCGCCACCAUGCCCUCUAACCAUGUUCCUCAGUCCUACUGACUCAACUGCCCUCCUUGCAAACAAGCUCUGUUCCAGACUCAGCCUUAGGUCGUCACUUCAUAAAAAUGGUCUCAUUUCUACUAGGGCCUCACUGAGAUUUCCCAGUCACUCAUUUUUCUGAAGAUGUUUAAGUCUUAAAUGCGUACUUUGUUAUUCUGAAAGGCUUUAUGGCUUUGUGUAAUAAGUUUUUCUUAAAGGAGAAUUGUUGGGUAAGCUGUACAUUUCAGCAAAACCACAAUUUAAAAUUUUGUUAUCUGUUGUAACAUGCAGUAAAUUCCAUGGUUAAUGGAAGAGCAUAUUGAGCAAAAUCCUGUGCCACUCCUGAG
ensembl:lncRNA